UAGCGGUUGCUCAGUGGUUAAAGCAUUAGGCUACUGCUCAUAAGGUUAUGAGUUCAAAUCCCAGCACCACCAA